rnacentral:rRNA from 1 species
AUGGGGUGCAAGUCAUGCCAGAAGCCCAAGGCGCAGCACCGGAAGGGCCUGUGGUCGCCGGAGGAGGACCAGAAGCUCCGUGACUUCAUCGUCCGCUACGGCCACAGCUGCUGGAGCACCGUCCCCGUCAAGGCCGGCCUUCAGCGGAACGGUAAGAGCUGCAGGCUGCGGUGGAUCAACUACCUGAGGCCGGGGCUGAAGCACGGCAUGUUCUCCCGGGAGGAAGAAGAGACCGUCAUGAGCCUCCACGCCACACUCGGCAACAAGUGGUCUCUGAUUGCGCAGCACCUGCCGGGUCGGACGGACAACGAGGUGAAGAACUACUGGAACUCUUACCUGAAGAAGCGCGUCGAGGGCGCGCGGGCACCAGCCAAGUCCGCCGGCUCGGACGCGCCCCGGAGCCCGACGCCCAGCGAGAGCGGCCGCGAACGCUGCACCGUCAACCAGCCGUCCAACUCCGGCUCAUCCGGGCCGCUCGAGUCAUCGUCGACGGCCGACGAGUCGAGCAGCCUCACAGUCCCCGGCACUGCCGCCUCGAUCCGGCCGCACGCGCCCGUGCUCCCCAAGGUCAUGUUCGCGGACUGGCUCGACAUGGACAUGGACUACGGCACCGGCCUGAUGGCUCCGAGCGCCCUGGACGCGGCCUUCGACGGCAGCCCGGCGCAGCAGGGCGCGAGCGUGAGCACCACGGUGGACGGUCGUUGCGACGCCGUGGACUCAUUGCACGGGAUCGGCGACGGCGGCAUCUGCUGGGAGUUCGAGGCGGACAUGCAGGGCGGAGGAGCAGGGUUCUGCGACCUGCUCUCCAUGAGCGAGUUCCUCGGGAUCAACUGA